ACACCUCAACUCUCAUGGUUUGCCAUGAUGAGCUUGGACUCUGGGGGUCUUGCUGGCCUAUGGUCAGCUCCUCUCAAAUAAAUCAGCUUGCCAGUGUUUGGUGGCAUCACAGGUGUGAUAACUAUCUACGCUUGUGGUUUUCCAUCAAGGUAACCUUCAGUGAUGGAGGUUCGCUGGAGCUCAUAAAUGUCCCUCCUCAGCGAGGACAGCUUUUGAAC
rnacentral:misc_RNA from 1 species